rnacentral:lncRNA from 1 species
AACCACCAUGGUCGGCAGUCCCCUUAGCAACUUUUGGGACCAUUUCUGGCUUUUAGGGUAAUCGUUUUGAUUAUUAAACAUGAAAUCGGUGAUCUCCCCAUGAAAUGGAGCAAAUUGAUGUAAAGAGUUGGUGUUUCUGGGCUGUUUGGAUUUCUCCGGCCACCGUGCACGGCAGUCGGCGGCAGCGGCCCGGUGACAGCCGGCGAUACUCCGGCGAGGCCCCGAAAGGCAAAAUGCUCUUCUCUUCGCGCUGAUCAUGGAAUCGUCGCCC